rnacentral:rRNA from 1 species
AAUUAUAAAUAGUUGAACAAACUAAACUCAUUUAUUUAUAUUUAAAUAAGUAUAAAUUAAUUCAACAUCGAGGUAACAAACAAAUCAUAUUAUUAAUUCUAAAAAAAAAUAUUAUC